rnacentral:misc_RNA from 1 species
AGUUGGUAUUCGAGGGGAUAUGCUGAGGGAAUUUAGAUUCAAAUGGGCUCGCGAGAAAAUGGAGGAAAGUGAAUUUUAUGAGAGUUUGGAGCAGCUCAGAAAAGAGGCUUGUGCCCAGGAAGAAAACAAUGAUUCUCCAAGUGGUGCAGAGGCUGCAUCUGGGGUGAAAUCUGAGGCUGUUUCUCUUCCCAAAAGGCGAGGGAAGUUAAAGUACAAGAUUUAUGGUCUUGAUUUGUCUGAUCCUAAGUGGAGUGAAGUAGCAGACAAAGUCCAUGAAACAGAGGAGCU